rnacentral:lncRNA from 1 species
CCCAAUUACCCCCAACCCUAUCUCCCUGCAUUUUUCGCGAUUAAAAUGAGGGCGGACCCAGUGCCCACUGCUGGCACCCCCCACCGCCUGACGGUCCCACCACUGCCACCUCCCGAGUCCCGCUCUGCUACUUCUUCAGGCUCUUACCGACUGCGCCAACCCUGGCGAAGCUCUGCGGACUGCCCUUUGCUUCAAGUAAUUUUUGGCGAUUUUUUUAGUGAUUUUUCGGCGGAGUCCUAGCGGCGCUAUACUCUCGGACAGGUUAUCCCGUCUCUCCCGCUAGAUUGAUGAGAUCAGGCAUCACUCGAAAAUGGCGCCGAAAGCGCUGAGGCUCCUCAUUCAAAUUCGUUAGAGCCAACCCCGCCGCCCCAGGGCAUGCCGGGAACGCGGGCUGCCUCCACAGCUGUCAAUACCGCCUCCUAACCCCCCUUCUCUUCCUUUCCCGACGCUUCUGCUCAUGCGCAAACUCCUACCCCAACCCCCGCGCCUUGAACAUGCGUAGAAUCAUCGUUGUUCGCCGCUCUCCCUUCGCUUCCUCCGUCGCAGUCCUGUUUCUUUUCUUGCGCGUGCGUUCAGCUCCUUUGCUCAGCCGCGGAGGUGGAGGGACCACGAGGACUGCGGGCCCUAGGGUCCACAGAUGACAUAUCAGUCGAUAGGCAUGCAUUUACUGUUCGAGGGAAACAAAUAAGGGUGCAGCUUAGGCGAAAAGAAAAUCGUCUUAUUGCCAGUGUCUAAACUCCUAACGACGGAAUGUGUCUCUGAGACUAUGAGUGUGGAUACACGUGUACUUAAAACAGCCCCGCCUGUGUGCAGAGCUCUUGCUGUACGUCAACGCUUUACAGGAGCUAUCGCACUUAAGCCUCAGAACAACUUGAUGAGGCCUAUUUCUAACAGGCUUAUUUAUGUGCAUUCUUAUUCUAUCACGGAUUGGAAUCAGAAAAUUGGACAGUGUUGCAGGUACUCAUUGAUGCAGGCCUACCAGCAGCCACAAAAGUGAGAACUGAAUACACUACAAGAAAUGUUGAAGAAAGAGCUUCAGACAGAAGGGAAAUGAUACCAUUUGGAAAUACAGAUCUACACAAAGGAAUGAUGAGCCCUGGAAAAGGAUUGGUUCCUGGAAGUGGAACUACUGUAUCAAAGAUUUGGAUGUUUUUAAGACCCCAGAAAGGUAAUAUAAUAGAUGAGAUUAUAAAUUUCAUUGCAUUCUUAGCAACACUAGCUAUUAACACUUAUUUUCAAUCUUUGUCAAUCUGAUGGGGAGAUUCUUUCUGUAAUUUAAUUGGAUAAAGUUGCAUUUUUGCUGAUAUACUCAUAUUAAUAACUUUACUACCUCAAGGACUCAUAAUUCUUUGUCUUCUCCAUGAUGCUUAACAUAGAGCCUUGCCAACAUGUUGAAGAAUAUAUCUUUUUUAUUGACUUUGGCAAUAUUUCUUUAAAAAUAAGUUAUUUUUUGAAUACAUAGAAAGGUGAAGAAAAAUAACAUAAAGGAUCCAAAUUAUUUUACUUAAUAAAAUGUAUGACUGUAUUUAGUUCUUCAUGUAGUAGUAGACACAGCAUUACUACUAUCAGCUAGCAAUAUAUUUUUUGUCGAAUCUCUUUAUUGAAAUCAUAUUGAAUUUAUUGCUUACUGUACCAUUUUCACUACAGCACUUUCCAAAAUGCUUAGUUUAUAAGCUUCAGAAAAACAUUCGCUAGAUAACUACUUUGAAAUAAUUUCCUCAACCCUGCCUUCAUUCAGAAUGCCUAGAAACAGACUGGCCCACUUCCAGUUUUCUUUCAUGUUAUCCUUACUAUGAAGUCAUUCUAUAGAUAGGGUAAUAAGUAUUUUGGCAUAACAGAAAAAUAGCAUCUGUAAAACUAUAUGGCACAGUUUGGCUGGGGUUGUUCCUUGAGAACUGCAUUACGUAAUUUAAAAGUGUUUACUUAAGCUCCUUUGAGCUGCCUCCAUGGUAGCUAUGAAGUCACAGAGAAUUAGGAACAGUUUGGGCCCUGAUAACAAAGUCUGUCAGUUUAACGUGAACACUGUGUCAGUUUUUUUAAAAUCAUUGCUAUAUAAGAAACUUCAAAAACAAAGAUAUACUUAAUUCAUUUUAUUUUUUUUAAAAAGCAUGCUACUUCAAAAAUCAUUAAGAAAUACAAAAAAUAGAGUUCAUAAGUGUACAUUUGCUCAUUAUCUAGAUGUACUUAUUUUAAAAUCUGUAUUCUAUAGUAUGAAUUCACAGUGUGAUUUUGACUCAGUAUAACCGUGAACAAUUAUGCAAAAAUUGUCAAAACUGUAGAGGUAUUAGACAGCCUUUAGGGGAGUAUGUUAUUAAAAUGGCCUAAGCACUAUUUCUAAGUCAUAGAGGAAGUCUUUCUAAGAGAACAUCAAAGAUGUAUAAAUUAUAAUAAUAUCAGCUUUAGGAGAAUUUAAAAAUAUACUAGGUUAUAAGAAAAUAUUACUUAAUCUUGAUUACUCAAAGAAAGGUGGUAUUUUCAGUUCCUUAAAAAAAUGAUUCUUGAGCCCCUUUACCAACCAAAUAAUGUGUACUAAAAACUAUGUGUACUGGUUUUAAAGAAAAAUAAUGCAAUGUGCAUUGUAAAAAUGGGAGAAGAGUCAUUUAGAUUCUGUAUUGUAAUAAUAAGUGUAUAUAUCACCUUCAAGGAAACAUGCAAAUUCUUAUAAAAUCCCUAAAAUCUCAACCAUCCCUUUAGAAUUACUGAGUGUUAUGAAUAAACAAACCCAAGUAAAGAUCCUGACAUGUAAAAACAUAUAGCCCUUUUUUAGAAAUAUCAUUUUAAUUAUGUACAAUUUAUUCUAAAAUUACUUGUUGGAAUAAUCUUCAUAGCAUUUUGCUUUUUAACUUUGAGAAGUAAGGACAUGUCAUUGAUGGCUUUGCCACUGAUCUAGUGAGGUCCAAAGUCAGGGACAAUUCAAAGAGGAAACAGAAAAAACUUUUAGGGCCUGAUCAUGGCCCUGGAGGUAUAGCCACUGUGGGGGUCCUGCCUAGCUUGGGAGAAGAGAGGUGUCUGUGUACAGGAGGCCUGAGCUGGAGGGGAGGGAAGGGUCAUGAGGGAGAAGAAGAGGGGAAUCCCGAUUAUAAGACAAACUGCCUACUCAGAUUGGCUCAGGAUUCGCUUUGCUGUAACAAUGAAACAUUUGGGUUUUUAUAUUGCGUUCUAAUAUAAAAAAGAGGAUAUUUAUUUGGUUUCUUAUGUUUAAUAUACAGCAUAUUGUUUAUAAAUCUAUUUAUCUGAAGUUAAUGUGUGAUGGUUUUAAACAUUGCAAAUUCUCUGACACUCCUCCCAUUAAAAGGGAGAGUCUAAUUCCCCUCUCUAGAAUAUGUAUGGUGUCAGUGAUUUGCCUCUAACAUAUAGAAUGUGAGGGAUAAGAUGCUACAUGACUUCUAAGAUUAGGUCAUAAAAGGUGAUACAGCUUCCCUGGCUCUGGGUCUUAGGACUGUUUGAGCCCAACAAGCCUGUUGUGAGGAAGCUGAGACCACAAGAAGCAGGCAGGUGUAGGUGUCUGGGCUGUUAGCCCCAGUUGAGGUCCCAGCCAUCAGUCAGUACCAAUGGCUAGACACGCAAGUGAACAAGCCUUCAGAUGAUGCAAGCCUCCAGCCUACGAGCUGCCCCAGCUGACGCCAAGUGGAUUAGAAAUGAGCUGUCCCUGCAGAGCCCUACCCAAAUUGCAUAUUCAUGAGUAAAGUAACACUGUUGUUGUUUUAAACCACUAAGUGCUGGGGUGGUGUGCUCUGUACUGAGUACAGUCCUAGCUUAGGAUGGCUGUAACAAGUAGGAGGAGGAAGCAAAGGAAAACCCUUUUCCUCAAGCUUUCCUUGUUUCCUUAGCCAGACUGGGAUUCUAGCAGCUCCUAGUACUAAAGAUUAAGUGGGGUUUUGAAGUGCUAGAGGGACAAAAACACCAUCUUGGGGACCCAGUCUAUCCGGACUCCUUUUCCUUAAAGGCUUAGUGGCUGAGCAGAGAAAAGAGAAAGCUUGAUUCCCUCCAUUUCUCUUCUCUUUUCCCGUAGGUAUCCCUGGUUUCAAAAAAGAGGGGAAAGCAAGAUUUAAUCCUCUCCUGCCCUCAUCUCCCUUCUGAAUUUGAAUUUUUGGAAAGGUGCUUUCUUUGCCACUGAAGGAGUACACAGCCUCUUCAAUCUUAUAAAGGGACCAAACCAGCAACAUGCUUUCAUUCCUUAUAAAGGAAGCAGGAUUUACUAAUCUAAGUUAUAUACGCUAGGGACACCACUCUGUCUUUACUCACUCACUACUGUCCUUCAAAGCUUCCUCUUGCUCCUCCUCUUCCCCUAAAGAUGGGCGUUUCCCAGGGUUCUGGUUCUCAGACCUCUGCUCACUUGAUACACUUUGUGGUCCAUCUGAUCCACUCUGCACCUACAUUUUAAGGACUCUCAAGAGCCAGACCUUACUUCCAACCCUCCUGGGAUAGUUCCCUGAUACCUCAAAUUCUAGAGGGACAAAACGGAGUUCCUCCUCCUGGACCUGAGGCCCACUCCUCCUACCAGUUCACACCCUAGACCAGAAAUCUGGCAAUCCCUUGCUCUUGCCCCUGCCCUACACCGCCAGUCAAUUUCCCAUUCCACUCACUCGUUUUAAAUUACUUUUCUUGAAUCCCUCUUCCCUCUAUCACCACUGCCACUAGGUACACAGCAGUGGUCCUCAUCCAUCCUUAUUUAGAUCACAGACUGUCUUAUAUUCCGUCUUCCAGUCUCCUGGACCCAACCAGUGUCAUCUUUUCAAAGACAUGUAACCUUUCUACACUUGAGCUUGCUUUUCCAUUUAAAAAAACCUUUUCAUGAUUCUCCAUUUCCUAUAGGUUUUAAUCCUGAGGCCCAAUAGUCAUUUACUCACAAAGCAGAGUAAACCCCGAGAAAUUGUCUGCAAAAUUUUAGUAUAGAUCUAGAGGUGCAUUUUUCUGAAGAGAGACCACAUUGCUUUCCAUAGAUUCUCAAAAGGAUAUGUGUCCCCAAAAAGGCUAAAACUUGUAGGUCUCAUGCUAAAGUCCAAACUCUUCAGCAUGGAAUAUAAAGCCCUGGAUAACCUGGCCAUCCAUCCAGCUUCCUUUCUCAACCCCCUCUUCACUCCCCUCCCCACCCAUCCUUUGCUGGCUGUAGUUCUUCACCACAGGCCUUUGCACAUGCUGCCAUGCUUGCUCAGCUUGAGAUGCCCCUUCCUCUCUGCUUAGUUGGCCUGGCUUUAGCCAUCAAGGAAACUACCUUCUUUGUUUCAAGAAACACCUGAGGUCGUGCUACCUACAGAAGGCUGUGCAGGCUAGGCAAGGUGUUAACUCUUGCCUCCCUGAAGCCAGCCUAGCAAUUGCUUUCUCUUAGCUUCUACCUGCGGGAUUCACAAACUUGGGGGUGGGGGGGGGGGCGGAUAGGGAGAGAAGAGAAAACCACAAAGUAAUGCCAGUAAAACAAACACUGACUGAAAAUUGUUUGUGCAGCACUUACACACUGUAGAAGAACCUCGGGCUGAAUAUACAGUACAUUUUUGUAGUGUUUUCUUGGGAGGGAGAAACUGGGCGGUGAACACGUCAUUUAUAGUUGCCAGCAGAUUUUUUGAUGAGAAAUACCACACACCUUCCUGUUACAGAAUAUUGUAUAGAAAUUUCCAAUACCGUCUGGUUUUCCUUUAUUUUAUGCCUAGCCACCACAUAGUUUAAUGUAUUUUUACAAAUACUGUAAUAACGCAGUUCUGAUAUUCUGCGAUUUACUAGGAGGACUGCUGGGUCAUUUAUCUGAAUUAUUGCUCCUGGUUCACGCCACCACCACUCAAAAAAAAGGUAGUCUACCAUCAUGAUGUGUCUCUAAAAUUCUCCAUCUACCCUGGAAGAUGACCAACUUUUUGAGAUAAACCGUGUUCUGACUAGUCUUUUGGUGAGACCUCCUAUGCCUUACAGCACAGGCUCUAAAAGUCAAAAGUCUCCUCUUUCAGAAAAGUUGUCUUUUGUUGCCUCGUAAGGGAGCUCUUCCAAUUUCUUGGGCGGACGGAUCUGAGCAAAGUGUAUUUCCCUGCUAGUAAAGCACCAACUUAUAAAUAGCGCUCACCGCGCUGAGUCACCAAAACCCGGAGUCUCCCCAAAUAGCUUAUAACGACUGCUGGAAGCGCGUCCCCCGGAGCGGUGACGGACUCCAGCCACACACCUGCGGGGUUGGAGUGUAGGCUCGCGCCGCUGAGCGGGUCCCCAACCAGCCGGCGCCCCGGGAAUGCGGGCAGGGCCUCCGAUUGCCAGCCAAGAAUCAGAGCGUCGGACCUCGCGCGCGCGGACGGCGCUCUCGGGAUGCGGCCCGACUCGGCAGCGACUGGUCCGGGACCGCCCCGCCCCCUCCGGAGCUGGGAGCCGCGGGGGGGCCGGCACCAGCCUCCGCCCUGCGCCGCCCGCUCACACAAUGGGGCGCGGCGGGAGGGGGUGAUAGCGGCUGCCUCUCCGGUCCCAGGCCCGGGACUCCGGGCAGCUGGGGAUGCAGCCAGGGUCUAGGGCCGUAAGGAAAACCCCCGUCUAUCCUCCGCUCACUCCCACACUUCGAAAUGGCUGCAGCCACCGGUACUGGGGGCUGGGGGAGGGAGCGGAAGCGCCACCCCCUGCAGUCAGGGGAUGGUGACGUCACCCCGACUGUCAGCCUGUAGCGGGGGCGUCUGCCCGUCACGUGACCUCAGCCCCCUCCUCCUCGCUGAAUUCCGCGCGCGCGCUCCCUCCCCCAACCCCGACUCCCACCUCUCCCCCGCCUCCUCUCCCCAACUUUCGCCCUCCCCGCUCCAGCAGGGCUGUCAACAGCGCCAGCUCCGCCCCCUCCCCCGCGCCCUGUGUAACCGCCACGGCGGCGCAGCGGGCGCUCGCGCUCAGCUCCCGGGCUCCUGGAGGAGAGCGUGCCCCCUGUCCCCAGGUUGCCCCCCAAUUCCCGGCGCGCUGGGUGCGUGGGCACAGGAGCCAGGGUGCGCGGCGGCGUGCGGCGACAGCGCUUCUCUGCUCAGCCCUCCCACGGCAGCCGCAAGACGAGGCGGAGACGCCAGUUCCGAGCUCGGAGGGGGCGAGGCGCGCUCGGCCGCCUCCCAGCCCUGGCGCGUCUCCACCGGGGGGCUGCCCCGGGCAGGAGCAGCAGACGGGAGGCCGCCCUCAACCCCCGCCCAGGGCCCGCGCCUCCGCGGCGCUCCCGCCUCCGCUCUCCCUGCCGCCUGGGCGGCGCGCGCUAGUCCUGCCUGGCUUCGUCUCCGGCCGCGGCGCGGGCACCGGCUGUACGACGAGGGGCCAGGCGCGGACCGCCUCCUUGAGCCCCCUCGGCCACCCCGCGGUAGACUGCUGGGGUUGCAGAUUUGGUGGCUGUCACUGCUGCGCCUCGUUCUAUUUUUCCUCCAAUUCCUUUCUAAAAGUAGAGGCUUGGGGGAGGGAAUAGAAAACCCGGUGUAAAAAGGGGCGGUACGGACUGACCUGUCAUCGGCGGAGGAAGACCCCCGGUGGGGAUGAGCGCUCCAACCCGCGCAGGGACUGGAGCCUUGGGUUCGCGCGGCGCGGCGGCAGCUGUGCCUCAGCCAGGUGUCCCCCUCGGCGGGGCCCGCGCUGUCGCGCCCGCCCCCUCCCCUGGCGCUGCGCUCCCCGCCCCAUCGCCAGGGACCAGGGAACCCCCCAGCUCGAUUUUUUGUGCAGUUUCAGCAAAGCUCCGAGGAAGUUGGUCCUUUUGUUCCACUAUUUAUAGAUUGCGUCAACAUUGCGAAAAGGAGAAGGCGGAGCGGUGGCCCCUCCUCCUCCCCCUCCCCCCGCCGGCUCCUGGGAGAGAAAAGCCCCAGCACACGACC